UACGAAGGGUGCAAGCGUUACUCGGAAUUACUGGGCGUAAAGCGUGCGUAGGUGGUUGUUUAAGUCUGUUGUGAAAGCCCUGGGCUCAACCUGGGAACUGCAGUGGAAACUGGACAACUAGAGUGUGGUAGAGGGUAGCGGAAUUCCCGGUGUUGCAGUGAAAUGCGUAGAGAUCGGGAGGAACAUCCAUGGCGAAGGCAGCUACCUGGACCAACACUGACACUGAGGCACGAAAGCGUGGGGAGCAAACAGG
rnacentral:rRNA from 1 species